rnacentral:rRNA from 1 species
UACGUAGGGGGCAAGCGUUGUCCGGAUUUAUUGGGCGUAAAGAGCGUGUAGGCGGCCAGACAGGUCCGUUGUGAAAACUCGAGCUCAACCUCGAGACGCCGAUGGAAACCGUUUGGCUAGAGUCCGGAAGAGGAGAGUGGAAUUCCUGGUGUAGCGGUGAAAUGCGCAGAUAUCAGGAAGAACACCUAUGGCGAAGGCAGCUCGCUGGGACGUAACUGACGCUGAGACGCGAAAGCGUGGGGAGCAAACAGG